rnacentral:rRNA from 1 species
GACGAACGCUGGCGGCGUGCUUAACACAUGCAAGUCGAACGAAGUGGCGAACGGGUGAGUAACGCGUAAUCCACCUGCCAUUCCGAGGGGGAAAACAGUUGGAAACGACUGCUAAUACCGCAUACUGAGGGGGGGGAUUGCGUUUGAGUAGCUAGUGGGAGGGGAAACGGCGCACCAAGGCGAUGAUCAGUAGCCGGUCUGAGAGGAUGAUCGGCCACAUUGGGACUGAGACACGGCCCAGACUCCUACGGGAGGCAGCAGUGGGGAAUCUUCCGCAAUGGACGGAAGUCUGACGGAGCAACGCCGCGGGAGUGAUGACGGCUUUCGGGUUGUAAAGCUCUGUUAAUCGGGACGCGGUACCUGAAUAGAAAGCCACGGCUAACUACGUGCCAGCAGCCGCGGUAAUUC